CUACGGGAGGCUGCAGUGAGGAAUAUUGCACAAUGGGGGCAACCCUGAUGCAGCAACGCCGCGUGUAUGAAGAAUCGGUUUAUCCGUGUAAAGUACUGUUGAUUGGGAAGAACGGCAGGGUUAGCAGCCUUGUUUGACGGUACCAGUUAAGAAAGCUCCGGCUAACUCCGUGCCAGCAGCCGCGGUAAUACGGAGGGAGCAAACGUUGUCCGGAAUCAUUGGGCGUAAAGGGUACGAAGGUGGGAUCUUAAGUCAGUUGUUAAAGAUUACGGCUUAACCGUGAUUUGCAAUUGAAACUGAGAUUCUUGAGUUCGAGAGGGGACGGUGGAAUAUCUAGUGUAGCGGUGGAAUGCGUAGAUAUUAGAUAGAACACCCGAGGCGAAGGCGACCGUCUGGCUCGUAACUGACACUCAAGUACGAAAGCAUGGGUAGCGAACAGGAUUAGAUACCCCUGUAGUC
rnacentral:rRNA from 1 species